UCAGAUCAGAGAUCGGAACGAAAUGGUUUCUUGCCCCUCUUGAUAAUUUACACGCAUGGCACAUUCAUCGGACCCUCACACACACAUUGUUUCCGGGUAAGAUCAAACGCAGCAGCAGCCUCUCACAGGCUGGGCGUCCUCUCGGCGGCGCCGGAGAUGACGGUGAGCAGGUUGUUGCCGAAGGGGUCGCUGAGGUGCUUGGCGAGGUUCUCGACGGGGCCCUCGCCGGUGACGUACGCCUGGAUGAAGAAGGCGAACAUGGAGAACAUGGCGAGCCGGCCGUUCUUGAUCUCCUUCACCUUGAGGAUGGCGGCCUGGUCGGGGUCGCUGGCCAGGCCCAAUGGGUCGAACGGGCCGCCCGGGUGGAGCUUGUCCUCCAGGUCCAGCCCGUUGAUGAUCCGGUAGUACUCGGCGCCGCCGACGAGGACGACCUCGGCGAUGACGGCAACCACCAGGUUGAUGGGGAUGCUGUUGCCGAAGUAGCUGAGGGUGUUGCCGUCCAGGAGCAGGGCGCCGGUCUGCAUUGUAUUACGGUGGCGCCGCCAUUAGUUCACAGUUCAGAAUUUCAGUUUCAGAGAUUGCAAUUGCAACUAUUCUACCACUGAAAUGUGUGGUCUUUGUGAAACAAUGUUGAGUUCUUUUCUUUUUUCAUAAAUUCAAUUGCGCGCGAUUGUCCGGCACAUUUGGGGAAGAGAUUGCUACUCAAGUAUGAAGAUUCUUAAAGGUGGUGAUCAGGACCUUGAACCAGACGGCCUCAGGGCCACAGUUGGCGCCGAACUUGUUGCAG
rnacentral:lncRNA from 1 species